rnacentral:rRNA from 1 species
AUUGAACGCUGGCGGAAUGCUUUACACAUGCAAGUCGAACGGUAACAGGGAGCUUGCUCCGCUGACGAGUGGCGAACGGGUGAGUAAUGCAUCGGAACGUACCCAGUCGUGGGGGAUAACGUAGCGAAAGUUACGCUAAUACCGCAUACGUCCUGAGGGAGAAAGCGGGGGACCGUAAGGCCUCGCGCGAUUGGAGCGGCCGAUGUCGGAUUAGCUAGUUGGUAGGGUAAAGGCCUACCAAGGCGACGAUCCGUAGCGGGUCUGAGAGGAUGAUCCGCCACACUGGGACUGAGACACGGCCCAGACUCCUACGGGAGGCAGCAGUGGGGAAUUUUGGACAAUGGGCGAAAGCCUGAUCCAGCCAUGCCGCGUGAGUGAAGAAGGCCUGG